rnacentral:misc_RNA from 1 species
CGCAACUUGCGCCCCUUGGUAUUCCGAGGGGCACGCCUGUUUGAGUGUCGUGAAUUCCUCCACUACUUCACUUUUCUGUGGACGUAGCUGGGACUUGGGGGCUUUGCGGGCGUCUGUUCCGCUCCCCUUGAAUGCAUUAGUGAGGUUUCGAUGUGGACCUUGGUGUGAUAAUUAUCUACGCCACGGCUCGCUCGUAUAAGCUUUGCUUCCAACCGUCUUCGGACAAGAUACGCCUUGAAAUUGACCUCAAAUCAGGCGGGACUACCCGCUGAACUUAA